GGUUGUGGCUCAGAGGUAGAGCGCUCACCUAGCAUGUGUGAGGCCCUGGGUUUGAUUCUCAACACCA
rnacentral:tRNA from 1 species